UAUGGAACCACCGUUGUGUGCUCCGUGCAUUACGUCAAACGCAAAUACGCCCUCUAAUCGAUGUGGACUUGCACGCAUCGGUGGGGCUUGAUAAGACAAUCAAG
rnacentral:misc_RNA from 1 species